rnacentral:rRNA from 1 species
UACGUAGGGGGCUAGCGUUGUCCGGAAUCAUUGGGCGUAAAGAGCGUGUAGGCGGCCCGGUAAGUCCGCUGUGAAAGUCGGGGGCUCAACCCUCGGAUGCCGGUGGAUACUGGCAAGCUAGAGUGCGGUAGAGGAUGGCGGAAUUCCCGGUGUAGCAGUGAAAUGCGUAGAGAUCGGGAGGAACAUCUGUGGCGAAGGCGGCCAUCUGGACCAGCACUGACACUGAGGCACGAAAGCGUGGGGAGCAAACAGG